rnacentral:rRNA from 1 species
CGGUGGAGUAACCUUUUAGGAGCUAGCCGUCGAAGGUGGGACAAAUGAUUGGGGUGAAGUCGUAACAAGGUAGCCGUAUCGGAAGGUGCGGCUGGAUCACCUCCUUU